GCGACGUGGACGCCCAUGUCGGCAUGCCGCCGUGGCGCUGCUCCGUGUCCCUGGGGCCUGGGCAGCGGCAGCCCAUCAACGACGAGGGGUCCCUACCCACCCUCUCACCGACGAGGCAGACAGAGGAGGGAGAGCCGGAGAGGCCCACUUCAUCCGGGGCCCGCGAGGCGGGCAGGCGGCCUCCCCCGGGGCGAGCACGUGGCCGGACAGCUGGCGCUGGGCGAUCUGUUCCGCGGACCCUACCUGAUCCUGCUUGGAAAAUGGCCUCUCUCGGCCGGCUCUCGCGAGCUGACGUACUAUUUGCCGCCGGUAAACGUGGCGCUGCUGUUCUGGUCUGGAGACGGA
rnacentral:lncRNA from 1 species